ACGGGAGGCAGCAGUGGGGAAUAUUGGGCAAUGGGCGAAAGCCUGACCCAGCAACGCCGCGUGAAGGAGGAAGGUCUUCGGAUUGUAAACUUCUUUUAUGGGGGACGAACAAAUGACGGUACCACAUGAAUAAGCCACGGCUAACUACGUGCCAGCAGCCGCGGUAAUACGUAGGUGGCAAGCGUUAUCCGGAUUUACUGGGUGUAAAGGGCGCGUAGGCGGGGGAGCAAGUCAGAUGUGAAAUCCAUGGGCUCAACCCAUGAACUGCAUUUGAAACUGUUUCUCUUGAGUGCUGGAGAGGUAGAUGGAAUUCCUAGUGUAGCGGUGAAAUGCGUAGAUAUUAGGAGGAACACCAGUGGCGAAGGCGGUCUACUGGACAGUAACUGACGCUGAGGCGCGAAAGCGUGGGGAGCAAACAGGAUUAGAUACCCUGGUA
rnacentral:rRNA from 1 species